rnacentral:rRNA from 1 species
AUGGCAGAUAAUAUAUCAACAACUAGUUCACUGGAAGGACGACAUGAAGAGCUACGGAUGGACCAAUGCCUCCUGGAAGCAGCCACAUCCGGUGAUUCCGCAUCAAUGAAGGCCAUGGCAUCGCAGGAUCGAAGCAUGCUUCUUAGCACAACUCCAGCUGGGAACACCUGUCUUCACAUAUCGUCCAUCCAUGGCCAUGAGGCAUUUUGCACGGAUGUGGUGGCCCUGGAGGCGUCUCUUCUCACUACAGUAAACUUGGAUCGAGAGACGCCACUUCUCACGGCGGUGAAAAGUGGAUUUGUCAUCUUGGCUUCCGUUCUACUCCGAUUGUACCGUGAAUGGCGAUUGAGCAAGGCAAUCUUGGAAAAAGACAUUGAUGGCUGCAAUGCACUGCACCAUGCCAUUCGGAGUGGCCACAGGAAGCUUGCGCUGGAGCUGAUAGAAGCAGAGCCGGCUCUGUCGACACAUGUGAAUAGAAUGAACGAGUCACCCAUGUAUAUCGCAGCGAUGAGGAAUUUUACUGAUAUUUCAGAGAAUUUACUUGAAAUUCCUGAUUCUGCUCAUAUGGGACCAUGGGGCCAGAACACUCUGCAGGCUGCCGUGAAAAAUGGAAACGCAGGUUUGGCUAAGAGAAUUAUGGAAACACGUCCUGGGCUGGCCAAAGAAGCCGAUAACAAUGGGUGUACUCCACUAAGUUCAGCUGUAUACCGUGGCCUGGUUGACAUGGCACGAGUAUUGCUGGAACAUGAUUGCUCUUUAGGGUAUGAGGUGCCAAGUAAUGGUAAUCCUUUCCUUAGUUGUGCUGCAUAUGAAGGUCACCUCGAUGUUGCUCAAGAGCUUCUUAAACACUGUCCUGAUACUCCUUACCGUUCAACACAAGAUGCCUGUUGGACAUCCCUCCAUGUAGCUGUAUACGAGGAUCAAGUGGAGUUCACAGAAUUCAUUUUGAGGACCCCACAACUUCGGAAACUCAUUAACAUGCGAGACUCCAACGGUAAAACUGCUCUACAUUUGGCAGUAGAGAAGUGCAAUCCUAAAAUGGUUGCUGCUUUGCUGUCUCACGAUGAUAUAGACACAACUGUGCUUGAUAACAAAGGUGUUACACCAGCUUGGGUAUUAGCUCACGUCAUUGAUCAUGCCAAGACUUUAAACUGGAAUGAAGUGAGCAUGCUUAUGGUGAGAGCUGAUCCCCGAGAUGCCAACACUCUUUAUAAUCUUCACACCCAUACCAAACACAAAGCGACCUUGCAAUCAAGGAAGGAAGCGAAGUCACUAACUCAAACAUACACAAGUAACACUUCGCUAGUGGCGAUCCUCAUCACGACAGUCACCUUUGCCGCUGCCUUCACCCUGCCUGGAGGAUACAGCAAUGACGCCGGAAGCGAGGGACUUCCCAUCAUGUCUAGGAAGUUUGCAUUUCAGGCAUUCUUGAUUUCUGACGUCUUAGCAAUGUGCUCCUCGUUUGCUGUCGCCUUCAUAUGCAUCAUAGCAAGGUGGGGAGAUUAUGAGUUCCUGAUUUAUUACAUAUCCGCCACUAAGAAGCUCAUGUGGUUUGCAUACGUGGCAACAACUACGGCUUUUUCAACUGGUUUGUACACGGUGCUGGCUCCACAUCUCCAUUGGUUGGCUAUUGCAAUUUGUCUUGUGGUAGCUUUGUUACCCAUUCUCACGAAACUGUUGGGCGAAUGGCCAGUUUGGAAGCUCAGAUUACGGUUGGGUAAAGCUUUCAACUCAGACCUCCUUGACAUGGUGUGA